UAACUGCGAGUGAAGCGGCAAAAGCUCAAAUUUGAAAUCUGACGUCUUUGAUGUCCGAGUUGUAAUUUGGAGGGAUAUCUUCGGAGCUGGCGCUUUCCUAAGUUCUUUGGAACCAGACAUCAUAGAGGGUGAGAAUCCCGUGCCUGGAUGGCUGUCCUGCUCCAUGUGAAGUGUCUCCGACGAGUCGAGUUGUUUGGGAAUGCAGCUCAAAAUGGGUGGUAAAUUUCAUCUAAAGCUAAAUAUUGGCGAGAGACCGAUAGCGCACAAGUAGAGUGAUCGAAAGAUGAAAAGCACUUUGAAAAGAGAGUCAAAUAGUACGUGAAAUUGUUGAAAGGGAAGCGCUUGAGACUAGAUUCAGCUGACGGUCAUCAGCCAUGUUUUUAUGUGGUGCACUUGCCGUCGGUUGAGCCAGCAUCGGUUUUGAUGGCGGGAUAAAGGUUUUAGGAAUGUGGCUCUGCCCUCUGGUGGAGUGUUAUAGCCUGAAGCGCAAUGUCGCCUGUCGGGACCGAGGACCGCGCUUAUGCUAGGAUGCUGGC
rnacentral:rRNA from 1 species